ACGAACGCUGGCGGCAUGCCUAACACAUGCAAGUCGAACGAGACCUUCGGGUCUAGUGGCGCACGGGUGCGUAACGCGUGGGAACCUGCCCUUAGGUUCGGAAUAACUCCCCGAAAGGGGUGCUAAUACCGGAUAAUGUCUUCGGACCAAAGAUUUAUCGCCUUUGGAUGGGCCCGCGUUGGAUUAGCUAGUUGGUAGGGUCAAAGCCUACCAAGGCGACGAUCCAUAGCUGGUCUGAGAGGAUGAUCAGCCACACUGGGACUGAGACACGGCCCAGACUCCUACGGGAGGCAGCAGUGGGGAAUAUUGGACAAUGGGCGAAAGCCUGAUCCAGCAAUGCCGCGUGAGUGAUGAAGGCCUUAGGGUUGUAAAGCUCUUUUACCCGGGAUGAUAAUGACAGUACCGGGAGAAUAAGCUCCGGCUAACUCCGUG
rnacentral:rRNA from 1 species